UACGUAGGGUGCAAGCGUUAAUCGGAAUUACUGGGCGUAAAGCGUGCGCAGGCGGUUCGCUAAGACCGAUGUGAAAGCCCCGGGCUUAACCUGGGAACUGCGUUUUGAUACGGAUGGGCUAGAGUUCGGGGAGAGGAGAGUGGGAUUCCCAGUGUAGAGGUGAAAUUCGUAGAUAUUGGGAAGAACACCGGUGGCGAAGGCGGCUCUCUGGGACCGAUACUGACGCUGAGGCGCGAAAAGCCGUGGGGGAGCAAACAGGG
rnacentral:rRNA from 1 species